rnacentral:rRNA from 1 species
ACGCGAGCUGGGUUCAGAACGUCGCAAGACAGUUCGGUCUCUAUCUGUUGUGGGCGUAGGAAUAUUGAAGAGAUCUGUCUCCAGUACGAGAGGACCGGGAUGGACGAACCUCUAGUGUACCUGUUGUGGCGCCAGCUGCAUUGCAGGGUAGCUAUGUUCGGAAUGGAUAAGCGCUGAAAGCAUCUAAGCACGAAGCCAACUCUAAGAUGAGUAUUCCAUGAGGGUCGUAGAAGAUGACUACGUUGAUAGGCUAUAGGUGGAAGUGCAGUAAUGUAUGGAGCCGAGUAGUACUAAUUACCCGAA